GGUUCUGCUGUGAAGAGACUCUUACAAGUAACCUUGUCAACAUUAAUGAGCAAAAUGUUGGAGAAAUAAAUGUCUUCACUAUCCUAAUUACCGGUCACAUCCAGCUGCUGAAAGUUAAAAAAAAAAUCUGGAAAGAAUUUAAUAAAGUAAGAAAAUCUGGAAGUGCUAAGCCAGAAACCAGGGGUGUGAACAUUGGAAAGGAAAGACUAUCAGAACAAUACUUUUUAUAAAAGAUGUACUGGCAAAAUAAUUUUUACUAGUGGCCCUUGAUAAAUUUAGUGCCUUAAGAAAAAAGAUGGGGUUUGGAAAUGAUCUGAAGUAUUCUCAUGAAGCUUUGCUAAAACUGCAAGAUUGGGAGUUACGGCUAUUGGAAACAGUGAAGAAAUUUAUGGCCAUGAGAAUAAAAAGUGACAAAGAAUACGCAUCCACUUUACAGAACCUUUGCAAUCAGGUUGAUAAAGAGAGUACGUCACAGUUGGAUUAUGUCAGUAACGUAGCAAAGUCAUGGUUGCUCAUUGUCCAACAAACAGAGCAGCUUAGCAAGAUCAUGAAGACACAUGCAGAAGACUUGAAUGCUGGGCCAUUACAUAGACUUACUGUGAUGAUUAAAGACAAACAGCAGAUAAAGAAGAGUUAUGUGGGUGUUCACCAGCAAAUUGAGGCAGAGAUGUUCAAGGUUACAAAAACUGAAUUGGAAAAGUUAAAAUCUAGUUAUAGACAAUUAAUUAAGGAAGUAAACUCUGCCAAAGAAAAAUACAAGGAAGCAUUAUCUAAAGGAAAGGAAACUGAAAAAGCCAAAGAUCGCUAUGAUAAAGCCACAAUGAAACUCCACAUGUUGCACAAUCAAUACGUGUUGGCAUUGAAAGGAGCACAGUUACAUCAGCACCAGUAUUAUGAUGCUACACUUCCUUUGUUCCUUGACUCUUUACAGAAGAUGCAAGAAGAAAUGAUUAAAGGACUGAAAGGAAUCUUAGAAGAAUACAGUCAGAUCACCAGUCUUGUGACAGAAGAACUAGUGAAUGUUCAUAAAGAGAUCCAGAUAUCUGUUGAAGAAUUAGACCCUGGUUCAGAGUACAGUAGUUUCAUGGAAACUCACAGGACAUCAGAUAUUGAACAACAAGAAAUAGAAUUUGAUACAUCAUUAUUAGAAGAAAAUGAAAAUCUUCAAGCCAAUGAGAUUAUGUGGAAUAAUUUGACAGCUGAAGCUUUACAAACUAUGUUAAAAACUGUAGUAGAAGAACUGAUUCAGACACAGCAGACACUUCUAAAUAAGGAGGAACUAGUUCUGGAAUUAGAAAAGAAGAUUGAAGAGUCUUCUAAGAUCUGUGAAAGAAAAUCUGACAUUGUGCUUCUGCUAAGCCAGAAGCAAGCUCUUGAAGAAUUAAAGCAAACUGUUCAGCAGCUGAAAUGCACUGAAGUCAAAUUUGCAGCUCAGAAGGAACUUCUUCAACAAAAAGUGCAAGAAAAUGAUGGGAAAGAGCCCCCACCUGUUGUAAAUUAUGAGGAGGAUGCCAGAUCAGUCUCUUCUAUGGAUAAAAAAGAUAAAGUUUCCAGGUUUGAUACUAUUCGACAUUCCAUUGCUGGUAUGAUAAGAUCACCAAAGUCUAUGUUAGGCUCGUCAUCGGUAAGUGGGCAGUUUUUUGAUGUAAUAUCAGCGGGUGAAAAACCCCUGGCAGAACAAGAUUGGUAUCAUGGGGCAAUCCCAAGAAUAGAAGCUCAAGAGCUAUUAAAACAGCAAGGAGACUUUUUGGUGCGAGAGAGCCAUGGGAAGCCUGGUGAAUAUGUCCUUUCUGUGUUUUCUGAUGGGCAACGGAGACACUUUAUCAUUCAGUAUGCUGAUAAUCAAUACAGAUUUGAAGGAACAGGAUUUUUAACGAUUCCUCAGCUUAUAGAAUAUCAUUAUACAACAAAGCAUGUGAUUACAAAGAAAUCAGGUGUUAUUCUGCUGAAUCCUGUUGUUAAGGAUAAAAAAUGGAUUCUCAAUCAUGAAGACGUCAUUCUGGGAGAAUUACUUGGCAAAGGUAACUUUGGUGAAGUCUAUAAAGGGACAUUAAAAGAUAAAACACCUGUUGCUGUAAAAACAUGUAAAGAAGAUCUUCCUCAAGAACUGAAAAUAAAGUUUUUAUCAGAGGCCAGAAUACUCAAACAAUAUGAUCAUCCCAAUAUCGUAAAACUUAUAGGAGUAUGUACUCAAAGGCAGCCUAUUUAUAUUGUGAUGGAGCUUGUUCCAGGAGGUGAUUUUCUUUCCUUUUUAAGAAAGAAAAAGGAUGAGCUAAAAACCAAACAGUUGGUGAAAUUCUCAUUAGAUGUUGCUGCUGGGAUGGCGUAUCUUGAAUCCAAAAACUGUAUACACAGGGACCUUGCUGCAAGAAACUGUCUAGUAGGUGAAAAUAAUGUUCUGAAAAUUAGUGACUUUGGGAUGUCUCGUCAAGAAGAUGAUGGAGUAUAUUCAUCUUCAGGAUUAAAGCAAAUUCCAAUCAAGUGGACUGCCCCAGAGGCCUUGAACUAUGGACGAUACACUUCUGAGAGUGAUGUAUGGAGUUAUGGGAUUUUCCUCUGGGAGACGUUCAGCUUAGGGGUAUGCCCGUAUCCAGGCAUGACUAAUCAGCAAGCACGGGAACAAGUGGAGAAAGGCUAUCGAAUGUCAGCACCUCAGAAGUGUCCAGAGGAUAUCUAUAAAAUAAUGCAACGAUGUUGGGAUUACAAUCCUGAAAUGAGACCAAAAUUCAGCGAGAUUCACAAAGAGCUGUCUGCACUGAAAAAGAAGGUGACAUCAUGAGAAACUAGCAUGACUCAAAGGACAGGACUUCCUUUUUUGUAGAAAAGUAUUUUUCCUGUCAUAAAUCCAACACAUUUAUAUCAUAUUUCUUCUGAUAUUCUUCUAGGAUUCCUUUUUUAAAUCAAAAAAACUUCUUCUAUUCAAAUGUGCCCAACCUGAAGAAUGUCUAUGUUAAAAACAGAGUGUUCUGCUAAGUGCUUUAUAUGCUGUUAUUUAGGUUUUGUGUAAAUAGAUAAACAUGUAAUAUAUGUGUAGAGUUAGGAAAUUCUGGCUCAUUUAGAUAUUUCUGUGAUAAAUCCCGAAGAAUAUUUUGGGGGCUUUGUUUCUCCUUUUCAAUCCAUGCACUUGCAACAGUCUUAGUGUAAGCCCAAUGCUUCAUGAAUCAUUCCCAUGAAUGUUAAAUGCACAGUUUUCAAUAUAUCUUUUAAGGAAAGGAACAUACAUGUGCAAAAUCACCAGCUGAUGCAAUAUUGAAUAUGUGUUUAUUCAAGAACGUUAUGUAAGGAUAAGACUGCGGAGUUUGGGCACUAAUUGUUUUAAAUACAUUUCAAUAUAGUAAUUGUUUCUAAUAUUGGAUAUUAUUUAUUUGCAUCUUUAAAUGAGAAAAAAAGAGGCACAAUUUGCCAGAAACUGGCAAGCACAAAUCAAUAGUGUAGUUUUUUAUUUUCAGGAAAAAAAAUAUAUUCAAAAGUGAGUGUUACAUGUAAUGCAACUACUGGGAAGUGCUGACUUUCAGAAGAAUGAAUAUAGAAAUAGACAUUUUUAAAUGUGCACAUUCAAUAAUGCAGUCAAUAACAUAUUUGCAAAUGAAAGUAGCGUAUGAUUAAGGUAACCAGUAGCACUGAUUUUACAUUGGAAAAGCAAAGUGAAUUACUUGAUUGGAAACUUUGUGAAUUGAUGUUUCCAUUCUGUAUACCCCUGGAGGAAGAAAUAUACACACAUUCAUACUGUAUCCACUAUCAGUUUCUCAGUUUUGUUUUUAAAAAAGGCCCAGAGAAGAAUAUUGUAAUAAAAAAUUACUAUCUUUGAAAAAGGUAGUUUGCCCUCUAAAGCUACAAACUUGAACAGAAUACAAUUCCAUUUUUCCAGUUAAACUCACCCUUUGUUAAAUUGAUAUUUGGAUGCUCUGAGAAUUAUCAAUCAAUAACCAGCAAAAUUAAUGACUGGAUUUUCCCUGAGGUCCCAAGGAGAAUGACUGAAUCUGUAGCAGGUCAGUUCUGUUGCAAGAGGUUUCAUAUUAUACCUCAGAAGCAGCCAAAUGCUAGUCAUGUUGUAUCAGCAAAUCAGGCACUUCCAGAUGAAGCAAUGUGAUCUUUUGCUCCUUGAAAUAGGGAGAACCAAGAUGUUGGUGAAGUCUGUGAUUGCAAAACAUAUCUGUUUUGCUCAUCAUUCUGGAAGAGCACUUUUGGUCUUUUAUGCAUGUGUUUUGUGGUAGUACAGAGUGGUGAUGUUGAGCAAGAUGUAUUCUACUUUUAGACUAGAAAAAUUGAUGUCAUUUACAUGAUAAAAAUUAAUAUCAGAAUAAAACAGUAAAGCAUUAUAUUGGAGGAAAAUGUUCUUCAUUGUAGAUGAGCUUGUUGGUAACAUAAUGCAAGGGACAUCAGGUUAGUGUUGCCUUAUAUACAAAGAUUGCUUUAUAGUUCGUAAUCCAGUAAAGAGGUAAAAGAAAGGAGAAAUAAAUGUAAUACUGCAGUUUCUAGGUAUAGUAAUGGGCAUAUAUGGAUCAUAAAAAAAAUAUUCAGCAAAAGUAGGAAAAUUGAUUAUUGUGAUCCUAAAGGGAUCCAAAUAGUGUGCCUUUAAUCAUCGGCAUGCCUUUGUUAAUUAAAAUGCACAAGGACUGAAUUUUAAUACCAUAAGGGGAAAAACACCACAAAUUGCCCAGUUGCACAUUUUCGUCUAUGCAUUCACUAAUGUAAAUGUCAGGACAGAAUGUAAAGAAUGUAUUUCCUUGUAUUCAUGAUGUUUUUAGUUUUUUCUUUUAAGGGUUACUAUUUUUAUAUAGGAGAGAUUGUUCCAUUUCUUAAAAUCUUCUGAAUGUAUUCUGUCUUUCAACAUGAAAAAGGACAGCACUUUGUCUUAAAUUGAUUAGAAGGACAACUUGUCCUUAUCUUCUUGUAUAAAUGUAAAGGGUAACUGCUAUUUAUAUUUCAUUUAUGUAAGCAGUUAAAAUUUGCAAUUCAUGUCAGACUGCUGCUCUAAUUUGAAAACAUUUCUGAACAUAAUAUCAGAACAUUGGCCAUUUGUUUUGCCUGUCUCCUGUCCUAAAAUCAGAGGGUCACCUAAAAUCAGAAAUUAGAAUGUAGUCACGGUUCAUUCCCAGAAAGUAAGUUUAGCUAAUUAAUAUUAUAUUUUUCACACAUUCUUACAAUCUACUCUCUUAGUUUGUAACUUAAUUUGUAAAACCAGUUUUACCUACCAUAUCAAACUAUUUAAAUUAUGUUGUAAACCUAUAUCCAUACCAAAUGCAUAUAGUCAUUUCCUUUCUUAAUGGAGUAAGUGAAAGUUUUCUGCAUAAUUAGAAAAUCUAUUGUUCCAGAAUUGAUGUAGUUCUUGUAAAAAAUAAAAUUAGAAUCCCUAUUGCUGGUAAUAUGUAAUACUAAAUAAGCAUUAAAUAUUAAUAAAUAUUAGCAAGAUUUGAAAAUGCAAUAAACUAAAAAAUUGUGAACAAAUUAACAUUUUACAACUAAAUGCCAAAACUUUUGAAGAUAUGUCACAUAAAAAAUAAUUUGAAAUUGAUUUGCACUCUAUACCUUGCUUCACUAUAAAAAUAUGUUUUAAUAAAUUAGCCAUAUAGCGUAAGACUCUUGCCAAAAGCACAUUAUUCUGAAAUACAAGAUCUGUAUACCUUAUAUAUAUAAAAAACAAGGUAAGAAAGCAUUAAAGGCCCACAUUCAUUCAAGAUUAUUUACUAACUUUCCAUUUUUUGAAAUAUUUAUGGACUAUGGUAUGUAUUUUUAUUUAUGAAUGAAAGUAACAAGUGUCAUCUUUUUUGCUAUUUUUAAAUGUUGAUGCAGAUACUAUAGAAGGUUGGAAACAGCAAUUUUAUGAAGCUUGUUUGGUUAGAAAUAUUCAGUUAGUUUGUUAAGUUUUGGGAAGUGAAUCAACUGAUUACAUCAAUUUGUUGAGCCUGGUUGCAUAUUACUGGCAGUAAGGUAGUAAGUAACAAUUUACAGGUCUCUAUCAGUACAAUUUUUAUAUAUUGUACUAGCUGACUAAAAGAUUUAGUACAUUUUGUUUCUUUAAAAUUAACAAAAAGAGCUUUUAACUAUACUAUCUGGAAUUUAUAGAGUUUAAUUAAAGAUGGAGCUCCCCCCCCCUAAUUACUUGCAGUGAAAUACCUGCUUUUAGCUUUUGCAGGUUGCCAGGAUAGGAGGAACCCAUUCUGAACUGAAUCCGUGAAUGUGAGGAUUCUUUAUCAUCAAAAUUUUUCUUCUGCUUCCAAAACUGCUUCUUAUUUCCCAGCAACUGAGCAGCCUGCUCAGCAGGAAAUUAAGAGAGUAGAUUGUAUUCUUUUUCAUCCUGUGCCAUAUUCUCAGUCAGAAUUGUAAGGGGUCUUAAGAAGGAAGCAUUGCUAACUCUAAAAUUCUAUUUUAAACAUUUAUGAAUGUAACAUUUUAAAAAAUGAAUAAGCAGUAGGCCUUGGUCAUACAAUAUUUGUGUAUGUCUUGAAUAACAAAGCAGAUGCCAUUGCAGCACUAAUCUCUCUUUCAUCAGACAAAAUAGAUUAAAUGCCAUAAGAUACUUUAGUCCUGUAGUAUAAUUUCAUGUUAAGAUCCCUAACAGAAGAAAUAGUCCUAAUCUAAGAAGGCACAAGGACUUCGGGGGGGAGGGGGGAAUCAUACAAUUGGAUUUGUCUUUUUUAAAAAAUCAACUUUAGUUUUAUAAAGUAACUGUUACAAGUAGGUCUUAUUGGAAUUUAUAAAUUUUCAUUGAGUUCUAUAAGGUUUUGUUUCAUCCAAUUUAAGACAGAACUUUUACUUGUUUAGCUUUUUCUCCUCUUAGUUGUUAAAACAUUAGCUCUUGAAACUGAAUAAUGUGUAAAAACUGGGUUCAGAAAAAUUGAAUUUCCUCUCUAAUGACUUUUUAUUUUUGACAACAUUUUAGUAUUUAUAAGCAUAAUUUUUUUCUGGCAAGAGGGAAACUGUAAAAAAUUAGGAUGGUAAAAUAAAGGAGAUCUAUAUCCUCUAAAUAAGUUUGUUUUGUGCAAUUUAUUGUGGAGCAAUUGAACAGUGCAAACAUGUUAUUGUUUGGGCUAUUGCACCACAAACUCAAUAAUCCUGAAUUAAAAUAUUGAGCAGAGGGGUAUACACAUUCUAAUUUUGAAUGUAUAUGAACUAAGGGAAAUUUGCUAAUUUUUAGUGGUCACAGAUGUGCUAAACCUAUUAAAAUAGCUAAUAUAGAAAUGAGGCAAAACAGACACAGUCUUUGAAAAAAAGAUCAGCUCCAACUAGUUCUAAAUCUAAUAUAUCAUUUGAUAAAAGGUAGAUAAACUAUGUUAGAUAAUAAGACAAAAGUCACAAUCUUCCCUGGAAAGCCAAUCACAGAAGCACUGCUUUAAAAUUCAUAGCUUAGUUAAACCUUUGGUAGGAUUUCAUUUCUGAUUGUAAAAGUAGAAGGAUUCAUUUUAUGUAAUUAGGCCCAUCAUUAACCCCUAGGAAAAGGGGGGGAUCUUCUAAAUGCCCUUAACAGCGGAAACUAAGGAUGACAGUGUAUGAAGAAAAAAACUCCUUAAGUUAAGAAAAGGAAGUCAGUGCUAUUAUUAUUUAUUGAUUCAGGAAAGAACAGGCAGAACAGACAUACCAGAUUAUUGUUCUCAAGGCAUAAAGGAAUAACAGAAGAUGUUAUUCUUUUUUAAAAAAUGUAUUCAGAAAGGUAUAAGGUGGAAAGAAAAAAUACAACUUGUAGAUAAACAAAACAGAAUGAUAAAAAAAUGUGCAUAGAAAGCAUAACCGAACCUUUAGGUUACGCAUAUUUUUAAUUUUAUGCUUAAUUCUGUCAUGGCUAGUCUUACGGCUUUUGAAUUCUGAAUCCCAGGACACAAAUUGCAAGAUAAUUCUGUGUCAUCAAAUGCCAUGCCAGCUUUCAGCCAAACUCAAGAAAGAUAUGUGAUUACCACGGUAUCUUUUAACUGAUUUAGCAGAAGUGUUGAGAAACACUGGUAUAGAGACAGAAGCAGAAGUCGAUCUGAGACUAGAGAAGUAUGUUUUCCAAAUUGCAUUUUCUCCAUCUUUCCCCCUGCCCACGCCCAGCUCCUCAUUGUCAUAAAGUGGUUAGGGACACUGCGGCUUUUAGCAAGCUGCAGUAGAAAUUAAGACAUUUUCUAUAAGAAUACCACAAGAGUUUACAGCUUUAUUACAUGUAUUUUGUUGUAAUUGUUUUACCACUAGUUAGUUCCAAUAUAAGCACCAGCAGUUUUAAUACCAGGUAAAGCACCUUUAUUGUUUAAAAAUAAUAUAUUUGUGCAACAUAUAGUUUAUACAUAACACUGGAAUGAAUUGCAUUCUUCAAAAUACAGGUGCUCUGAUUGCCUAUAUAUACUUAAUAGUCAUCUGUUCUUUUGCAAUUUUAGCAGAUCUACAUUUUAACUUUUAUUUAUUUCUCAUUUUUUGUAUUCAGAUUGAACCAAAAUUAACCUUAUUUCACUUUCCUAGCCUAUUAUAAAAAGGAGUAUUUUGUUUAUUUAGAAACUGUGCAGAUAAUUUUCAAUGGCCUCUCUCUCUUUAACUGGACCAUCUACAAUUAACUGGUGUUCAGUACCUUUUUUUACUGUAUUACUUCAAUAAAUGUAAAAUAUUUGUACUGAG